AUUGAACGCUGGCGGCAGGCCUAACACAUGCAAGUCGAACGCGUGGCGGGCGGGGGAGUAAUGUCUGGGAAAAUGCCUGAUGGAGGGGGAUAACUCCGGGAAACGGUAGCUAAUACCGCAUACCAUCAGAGGUGCCCAGAUGGGAUUAGCUCGUUGGUGGGGUAAUGGCUCACCAAGGCGACGAUCCCUAGCUGGUCUGAGAGGAUGACCAGCCACACUGGAACUGAGACACGGUCCAGACUCCUACGGGAGGCAGCAGUGGGGAAUAUUGCACAAUGGGGGAAAGCCUGAUGCAGCCAUGCCGCGUGUAUGAAGAAGGCCUUCGGGUUGUAAAGUACUUUCAGCGGGGAGGCGUUACCCGCAGAAGAAGCACCGGCUAACUCCGUGCCAGCAGCCGCGGUAAUAC
rnacentral:rRNA from 1 species